UCCACAUCAUUAUUAGUCAUCAUCUUAACAUUCAUCAUUGUGCCUACAUCUUACAGGAGACAUGGGUCAAAACUACUUUCAGCCCUGUGUGAGUUCUGCAUAUCUGUUCUGUUGGUUCCAGUUAAAUUGUGUAAGUAAUUUAUUACAUGUUACCUGCUUUGUUUUCAAUUUCAGCAAUAUUAGGUUUGGUUUUGUAUAUACCAUAUACAGACCAAAAUGGGGAAGAACUUUUCUUAAAAUCAUGAAAAUGUACUAAUUGUCUGGGGCAUAAGGUUGUCCUCAUUUUAUAACAUUAUUAUUCUAUUGUUAUAGUUGGUAUUGAAGUAUUUUAAAUGGUAUUACUUUUUAAUGUAUUUUGGCCAGUCCACUUUCACUCACAUGGCUCUAGGUGUUCAUAAUUUCCAUCAUAUUUCAAUAAUAAAACAGCUGAUUUCCUAAUUACAAAAUACAGUUCCUUGCUGAGCUGUUUCUUGGAGUAUGAUAUUUGUGUCCUUCCAUGCAAAAAAAACUAUUUGUACUAGGUGUUUUUAGAUGUUUUGUAGUAAAAGUAAAUUCCAUAGAAAGUAA